UACGUAGGGUGCAAGCGUUAAUCGGAAUUACUGGGCGUAAAGCGUGCGCAGGCGGUGAUGUAAGACAGGUGUGAAAUCCCCGGGCUUAACCUGGGAACUGCAUUUGUGACUGCAUCGCUGGAGUGCGGCAGAGGGGGAUGGAAUUCCGCGUGUAGCAGUGAAAUGCGUAGAUAUGCGGAGGAACACCGAUGGCGAAGGCACUCUGCUGGCCGACACUGGCACUGAGAGACGAAAGCUAGGGAGCGAAUG
rnacentral:rRNA from 1 species